CAGUCGCCACGGGAAUACAGAGGGUGCGAGCGUUAAUCAGAUUUACUGGGCGUAAAGCGUGCGUAGGCGGCUUUUUAAGUCGGAUGUGAAAUCCCUGAGCUUAACUUAGGAAUUGCAUUCGAUACUGUGAAGCUAGAGUAUGGGAGAGGAUGGUAGAAUUCCAGGUGUAGCGGUGAAAUUCGUAGAGAUCUGGAGGAAUACCGGUGGCGAAGGCGGCCCCCUGGACAAAGACUGACGCUCAGGUGCGAAAGCGUGGGGAGCAAACAGGAUUAGAUACCCCCGUAGUCCCUGUCUCUUAUAC
rnacentral:rRNA from 1 species